UAUUUAUGAUGUCACAUUUACAGGCCAUGAAGCUCAGGAAAUGGGUGGGCAGGUCAUCUUUGAUUUUAAUAGGCAGAUAUCUUUAGAGAAUCUUAUCUGCAAAAAAAUGGUGAGAACAAGAAAUCCUACAUGAUGUUAUUUCUUCAUCUGAGAGUUCAUUUAAGGCUGUCUAGAUGAAUCUUUGCACUGAUUUUUGUAUAAUAGUCGACCGUUCACUAUUUGACAAAACGUUUCAGAAUGCCUUUAGUAGUGAAGUUGAGAUAAGUUCCUAUAUUUUGCAAUUUGAAAGAUAAUUAGUUAACAAGUUGCAUAGAUUCCUGAAACUGUUUGAAAUGGUUCAUGAUGUUCUUUGAGGUUUGAGUGAAAUGUCUGAUUUCAAUGUCUGGACUUAUGUUCCAUGGCGCACAUCAUUUAAAGAAUUGUCAUUAACUGAUAAAACAGAUUGGAAAACUAGGUGCCAAAGGUACAUUUAAGAAAAUACCAAAGACCCAAAGAUGAGUGUUAGAUAGACUAUGAUAAUGAAGAUAAGAACCUAAAGUAAGGAUUAUACAGGACAUGGAAGAACAUUAUUAAAGGGAUUUGGAAUGAUUUGCUUACUAACGUGCUUUCAGAGCACUUUCUACAUACAUGAUAGUAAUAGUCAAGGGCACUGCUUGGGCCUUCAGUGGUCAUAUGUUUUCACAAACAUAUGUGACUUUUCUAAACAUUGUGACUUUUCAACAUUGUAUCUUCCCUUGUUGAAUGCCAUCUUGUAAUCAAGAAGGUCUUUAUCUCUUCAAGAGAAUUUUGUUUUUAGUUUUGAUUCACUACUUGCUCCCUCUAAUGAAUUAUCAGGGUGAUUAACAUGGAUGCUUUUGGUAUAAAGAAUAUGAGUUCCCUAAUUAGCAUGCAUUGUUAAAGACCACAUAGAUAUAUAACUGAUAAAAUUAUCAGGUUUCUAUUUAAUUGCUCAGUCAGAAUUAGAGAAAAAUGAUUUGGAACAAAUUAAAAUAUUAUAGUUGGGGCUAAUUUUUAAGGCAAUUUAGUAUGAAUGGUGAGAUAGCUUUGACAUACGCUUGGUUUAGAACAGUAUCUAUAAGAAAAAAACACACCAGUGCUAAUAGAUAUGACUUACAAAAAUGCAACAUACUGAAACUGUUUGAGGAUAUAAAUGUGUAUACUUGGGGAUUGAAAAGAGAGGGGGAGAAAAAAUUACCAAGAAAGUGUAAUAUUGUAAAAUUUACUGUUUGUCCGAAAUCUUAAAGCAAGAACUCUUGGGCAAUGAACCUGUAACAGACAUAAAAUCUGUUUUAUUUGAUGACAUCAUUAACUGAGCUCUCUGAAUUUUACAUUCAUAUACAGAGAAGGAACUGUCUUAGAAUUCAUUGGUAUUUGUGAAUAUGCUUCU
rnacentral:lncRNA from 1 species